rnacentral:rRNA from 1 species
CCGCCCGUCACGUCAUGAAAGUUGGAUACGCCUGAAGCCGGUGGCCUGACUCGCAAGAGAGGGAGCCGUCGAGGGCGGAGCCAGCGAUUGGGACG